CCCUUCCCAGGAUUGUACCUGGAGAGUUUCCAGGACUCUACCAGUCUCUGCUACGGGGGGGAGAGUCAAGCAGAGGCAUACCCAUGCCAUUCCAAGCUUGGGCGGUGGCUGUCGAGUGGGAGACAAUCUGCUACAAAU